rnacentral:pre_miRNA from 1 species
UGAGGUAGUGUUAAAUAUUGUUUUACAUGAAUUAAACAAUAUUUUAUUCUACUUCAUC